rnacentral:lncRNA from 1 species
AGAUCUGCCCAUCCAGAGAGGCAGGAUCACAGCAGCACCUCUACCAGGAGAGUUUUCCAGGCAUUUUUCAAUGUCUGCAAGAUCCUGAGAAUCCCAAACCAAGAAGUAUCAUCUGCUGCAGAAACCUUUUGCUGGUUUCCAGCAUAAUGUCAUCUCUGGAGUUGACACAGCAAAGAGUCACGGAGCAGGGCUGCAAGUUCCAGCAAGCCAAGGGCCUGGGAGGGAAGGCUACACCUACAGCCUGCACUAACAUUCCCUGGCUUUUUCCAGCAUCUGACAGACGCUGGUGUCAUUUAGGAUUUUUUGUGGAGGAGACACAUCAGCACAGUGACGGAUCCUGUCUGGUGCCAUCAGCAGCAGGGCGGCGUGUCCCCAGAGUAACGCGAGAGGACUGCCAUUCCUGCAGGGAAGGAUGCUCAGCAGGAGGUGUCAGCCCGGGAAACACAACAAUGGUUUCUCUCCCAUCACUUUGGAAACUUUCAGGAUGGGGGGAAGGCUGAGUCUGAAGAGGUGUGCCAAGGACUUGCACUGAAGGCCUUGGAGCAGACUUCACACCCAGGCAUCGUCAUCAUCUCAUGCCUGUCAAGGGAAAAGGAAUAAGUGUACUUCAAGUGGCUGUUUCCUACAGGAUGUGCCCUGUGGGGUAAGGAAUGGAACUUCUGAGCCCUCCUCCCACUAGCUGACACUUCCCACUGCACUCCCUCGUCCCCUCUGUGUGCAGAGCUGCAGUCACAAAUCAUGGGGUUACUUAGACUCUUGGAAAAAAAAAAUAAUAAAAGGAUGCACGUGUUUACAAUGCUAUUUCCUUAAUUCUCAAUAAAGGAUCCUAUUUGCUUCCUCCUCCAUAAGUCACCUCUGGCUGAGCAGUGUGGGAGCAGGAUGGAAGGAAUGGUGUGAGUUAAAACUCCAGUGCCCUCUAGCCAGCACAGCUUUGGCUGUAGCAAGGGUCUUCACAUCCUUUACUCCAUCAGAGGACUUCACAUUCCCCAUGGCCAUGUGGAGAAAAGCCUGGUGCAGUUCUGGCCAUGCUGCUUUGCCUGCCAGGCAAACAGGGAUCCAAAAUGCAGAAAGGCUGAGCUAUUCAUCAGCUGAUGAGCACCAGCUCUCCAGACACCUAGCCACCAAAUCAUCCAAAUCACUAAAUCAUCAUGGGGCAUUCCCCACCCUGAAGAUCUCAGCUAGAGCUGCAGGUAUAAUUUUAUAUAGCAGACAAGGGAAAACUGCCUGCAAAAAAAUCAUGUCUGCAUUUGUGUUAGUGGGGAAGGAACCUGAUCCUGGGCUCUUUCCCUGUGCAACAAAGCAGGAAGCACUGAUAUUGAGUGCACUUGUAGCACAAUGCCACGUUCAGUCUCGUCUGUGCAGCUCAGAUCUAGGCAGGCCUUGUCUUUUGCCAGCAGGAGAUGCCACGGCACGGCUCUUCAGCGGGUGGGAAGUGCUUGGAGGAGCUGCUGGCAAACAGCAGGCUCGGAGGGAUGAACCAGCAGAGGCAUGCACAGAGCAAGUGAUAAUUUCCGUGCUGUGCAAUUACAGCUGGGAAGGAGUAAACCUCUGGUGCACAAACCUGCCAACAGUUUACUGCCGACGAGGAAACAAAACCGACAGUUGACACUGGAACAGCUACUGAUACCCUGUAAUCAUCUUAAAAAUAGACUCUUUGCAAACCUGCUUGUUAGUAGUGAGAACAUAUGCUCUUUUUAAGAGAGGGGGGAGAGAAACCUUUCAGCAUCUCCAAAGCAGCGUUUGCAUUAGGCAGAGCACGUGUUUGGUGAAGUUGAGGCUGGAAGCUUCCCAGAACCUGGUCCAGUACUGCUGGGUGACCAAGGCACAUCAAGAUCCUGCACUGCUGCAGCACAUUGUGCAGCGUGAAGAACUCUUAGUCCUCUGAGCCCAGCAGCCAGUGCUUGCACAGCUAUUGCAGGCAGACAGCUUCUUCCAUCUUACUACACAUAUUUGUUCCCCAGGUUUCUGGUGCACAGCUUUCACUCAGGGUGAGUCCUCCCCACGGCUCCUUUUAACCACAGCCCCUGGCCAGGGUGAACAUCAUCUUUGUGCCAAGGCCUCUGGAGUCUUGUGCCAGCCUGGAGCAUUGUCCAUCACACCAAGCUGGAUGGCAGCACGACCCUGGCCCACAGAAAGUGCCAUGAGUAAGGUCUUCCCAGGAAAAAUAGCACUUUUCAGGACAAAUGCAGGGUCCGUCAAAACAGAGACUGGAGCCAGGAUGUGAUCUAUUCUAGGUGGGUUUUGUUUCCUUGAUUACAUGUUGCUUUUGUUGGAUCUCUUAGAAGACAGGCCUGGUUUGCUUCCUAACAUGUUCAGCACAAAAUUCACUCACCUGCAACUUCUGUCCCCUCUGUGCUCAGCACAGCAGCGCUACAGGAGAGAGAGGGACACGUUCCCUCAAUAAGUGGAUUUCAUUUUGGUAGGAGCCAUUUAGAAAUUAUAUCCACUUCAAUUUGGGCAGGGAUCCAAGGUUAACCUCCCUGCUCUCGUUAACAGAGCUUUCCUCUCAAAAACCCCAUCAGCUCAGUUUUACAUCUUACUUGGGAAAGUCAGUGCAAUGUUACACUGGGCACUGAGUGAUGCCUCAGGUUUUAGCUUUUCUAUUUUACAGAUUCUGUGCUGCUUUAGUGUGUGGGUCUGGGCUUCACAUUAGGGGAUGGUGAGCUCUCUGCACAGAGCAGGGAGACAAAACAAUUCCUUCUCCAGCUGGGGACCAAGGACAAAUGAUCCAAAUCUCAGCCCAGGAGCACAAACACCGUGGGCUGGAGAGAGAAAACAAGAAGGAUGAGACUGCAUGGGCUGGAAUGGGACAAUUAACUCCAAUAUGCAAAUGGAGCAGAGCUUCUAAAAGUGUCAGACCAUGUGACCAGUUGUGCAUUUUGUGACCAUUUUGGGUUCACCUUGGGCUCUUGCGCUGCCCAAGGUGGAUCCAUUUGAGGCCUUUUAAUAAAUCC